GGGUGAUUAGCUCAGCUGGGAGAGCAGCUGCCUUACAAGCAGCGGGUCGGCGGUUCGAUCCCGUCAUCACCCACC
rnacentral:tRNA from 1 species